rnacentral:rRNA from 1 species
AGCUCCAAGAGCGUAUACUAAUAUUGUUGCAGUUAAAAAGCUCGUAGUCGGAUUUCAGAUCGAAAUUGUAUUGGCACUUACCUGUGUUAGUCAAGUUUGGUCUUUCUUUCAGAAGCUAUCAUCGACUUUUAUGACGGUGAUGUGUGACUGAAUCGUUUACUUUGAGAAAAUCAGAGUGCUCAAAGCAGGUUUAGCCUGAAUGACACUCUUGGAAUAAUGAUAUAGGACUCCGGUUCUAUUCGUUGGUCUUGGGGACCGGAGUAAUGAUUAAUAGGGACGGUUGGGGGCAUCCGUACUUCGAAGCGAGAGGUGAAAUUCUUGGACCUUCGGAAGACGAACCACUGCGAAAGCAUUUGCCUAGGACGUCCCCG